rnacentral:rRNA from 1 species
AUUAGAGUUUGAUCCUGGCUCAGGACGAACGCUGGCGGCGUGCGUAAUACAUGCAAGUCGAACGCUUCUUUUCUACCGAGUGCUUGCACUCACUUGAAAAGAGGAGUGGCGGACGGGUGAGUAACACGUGGGUAACCUGCCCAUCAGAGGGGGAUAACACUUGGAAACGGGUGCUAAUACCGCAUAACAGUCGACACCGCAUGGUGUUGAUUUGAAAGACGCUUUCGGGUGUCACUGAUGGAUGGACCCGCGGUGCAUUAGCUAGUUGGUGAGGUAACGGCUCACCAAGGCCAUGAUGCAUAGCCGACCUGAGAGGGUGAUCGGCCACACUGGGACUGAGACACGGCCCAGACUCCUACGGGAGGCAGCAGUAGGGAAUCUUCGGCAAUGGACGAAAGUCUGACCGAGCAACGCCGCGUGAGUGAAGAAGGUUUUCGGAUCGUAAAACUCUGUUGUUAGAGAAGAACAAGUAGGAGAGUAACUGCUCCUACCUUGACGGUAUCUAACCAGAAAGCCACGGCUAACUACGUGCCAGCAGCCGCGGUAAUACGUAGGUGGCAAGCGUUGUCCGGAUUUAUUGGGCGUAAAGCGAGCGCAGGCGGUUUCUUAAGUCUGAUGUGAAAGCCCCCGGCUCAACCGGGGAGGGUCAUUGGAAACUGGGAGACUUGAGUGCAGAAGAGGAGAGUGGAAUUCCAUGUGUAGCGGUGAAAUGCGUAGAUAUAUGGAGGAACACCAGUGGCAAAGGCGACUCUCUGGUCUGUAACUGACGCUGAGGCUCGAAAGCGUGGGGAGC